rnacentral:lncRNA from 1 species
UCUAUAUACACAAAUUUAUAUAGGAUUUAUUUCACUUAUACAAACAAUGAAUUGAAUAUGGGAUCUAUCAUACUAUGUCACCUACAAUUACAAUUACCACCACAUGCCAUGUUGAAUAAGAAAAAUUCAAUGUUCUAACUUGUUCAUGUGAGAGAGCAGUAUGCUGAAGGGACAAAACUAAUUGAGGCGGAGGAAAAAACUAGUUAUAUAUUGUGCCAAAGGGACAAAACUAGUUCUACAUGCUAUCCACUUCUAUAUGGAAGUAAAACCAACUUCCCAUUAUAAGAUUACUUUAGCAAUCAAGACUUGUGACGAACUCAUCCACAUAUUUACAUUAUCUAUGACUCUAGAUAGGUUGGAAUCACUUCUAGGGAGAAGCAUCUCCCACAUGAUUUUCCAUAUAAUCACUUUUAGUUAUUUUAAGUGAAUUUAGGGAUGUUCUUCUACAUAAAAUCACUUAAAACCACUUAAAGUGAUUAUGAAAAAAUGAUUCUCCAUAGAAGUGAUUUUUGGCCUAACCUGAAUCACUUCCAAACAAGCUCUAAGAACAAAAAAAUAAUAAUCAAAAGUUUCACAGAAAAGGAAUAUGAAUGCCUUUGCAGAAAAGAAAAAGAAAAGAAAAAUGCUUAUAAAAAAAUGUAUUUCAUAGCAAAAAUGGUUACUAUUUUAGCCUGAAGUUGGUCAGUAAAAGUGACAAGUCACUUCUCCACCAUAUUCCAAGCUACUGGGUAAGAAUUGAAGUGGACCCAACCAUCUUAGGCACUUAACCUCUAAGCCCAUUUUCCUAAAAAUUUGUUGAGAAGAAUUGAAGUUGGAGGCCACUUACCAUAUCUAGGAUCAUUUGAUCCAACUGGAAGAAUGGUUGUUGAUUCUAACCAUCCAUCUUGGCCGGUAUCCACUCCACCUCUUUGAUCUCAAAAGCAUGAUUUAGGGUCUUCAUGAAAAAAUUCCACUUGCACCAUGCUCUAGCACUUUAUUAGCCCACAACCACAUAGCCUUCUCAAGACACUCUUCGUCCACAUGGGCAUCGUCUGCCCCUAAAUCGAUCGAAUUUUGGACCGAGAUUCCCGUGAUGGAAAGAGGCCCAAGAUGAUCUUUGUAAAAUCUUGCUUCCACCGUGUUGGCUAAAGCCAUGAAAAAUAUUGUAUACACUACCAUCCUUAUGCCAAGAACUAAUGAAGGAACACAUAUAUUUCCAUGGAUCCAAUCUCAGCUCGAAAAAGCAUUGUAGUGAGCCAUUGUCUCCACCCCAAAGAAGGUUUGCAUCUUGAACUUUUGGCCCACCUUGACUUGGAGUGGGUUGAUCCCCUUUAUCUCAGUGGGAAUUCCUUUAUCCGAACAUUUCUUCAACUUCCUCAUAAUUGAAGCUAGAAGGAUGUUCACCGUGGGCCCUCGCAUUAAUUUGAAUUUUGCUCACCAGCACCUCCAUCAAAAUGAGCAAAUACUUGUAAGGGCUUAAGGUGGGUAGCUCGAUGUUUUUCAUUCGGCCUUGACACAAUGAUUUGAGGUCGAGCCACGUCUACAUUUAGAACUUCUCAAGUCACUUAGAUUUCCUUUGGUUCGCUCAUCUGAAACAUUGACUCGACCUUGUCGAAGACAUCACCGUAAAUGGAAUUAGGUUGGCCCGGCUAUACUUUCAAAAACAAGAGAAGUGUGACCACCAUGGAAUCGACCUCAUCAAAGUUCCAAAACUUCAACUUGGUCUUACCCACCUUCCAAGCACUUUCUAACUUGGCUAGCCUUUUCAUAUUCUCAUGAUCGUUCGGAUGCUUCAUAUUUUAUUUUGGGAAUUCUUGGAGACACUCACCAUCACCAUACUUAUCGUCCCCAUAGAACGCCUCGACCUUUAUGCUCGGGAUUUUCUUAGGCUUAUUUAGCCUCUACUUUGUUCAUAGGUUCAAGCCUUUAUUCUAUCUUUUUGGUAUGAAAAUCACCAUGACUUGGUCCUCCUCUACCUUUGGCUCUUCAUAUUUCAUCUAAGGAUCACCCCUAACAUCUUCAACUAUUUCAUGGUCCUCCUCUUCUUUCCUUUCGACCUUGUCUUGUUAACCACCUUGGCCAUGACUUGAUUUUGCCUACGGUCUGUUGGACUUUUGGCUAAACUGACUUAGCCUUUUCAACCUUUGAUACCCUCUAAUCCACCACCUUUGUUGGCUGCCUUGACUCUACCUAGGAAUUAUUUGCCUUGAAAAAUUCUGGCAGAUGAGCCUCCAACCCCAAGAUUGUCUCAUAUGGGACUGUAACCACAACUGAGCAAUUCAUCAAUUCUUAGUGCAUUUUCAUCUUUUCAGCCGUUGCUGCUUCUAGUGAGGCCACAACCUCAACCUUGGUUAGUUCCAACUCUUCCAUCUGAAGCUUUUCUAAAAGUUUGACCACUCGAUUAAGUUGGGUUGGCCUCUCAUUUUUCCAUCAUUAUUCCUUUACAUAGAUCUUGCCAUUCGCCUUGCGAUAGGUUGAAGUACUAGGAUGACUAGUAUGAUCCAAAUGAUCUCUGGCCAUCUCUUUGGACCAUCUUCCAUGCCCCAUAAAUGCCUUUGAUUGGCUAAUUUUGGCCUUUGCUGGUGUUCGAUAAUUUGAUCACUUUAAAAUGUGGUAUUGCUAUGUUGACCUUUUCCCUUACAACCACGUUUAUCAUUAUUGCAGCACGUUUAGUCGUGUUCCCACCUUUUCUUUCACUAGAUAAAGGCCAUUAUCUCUUAGGAUGGUCACCUUAGGUUGUACUAUAUUUCAAGCCUCCUAUUCGUUCAUGUUUUGGGUCUCAUCUCCUUGGGUGGACUCAUUUUCCCCAACCAAUUAGAGGUUCUCAAUAGGAAAUUCAACUUGAGCAUUUGACUCCAAGGCUGAAUUGUCACUUAUUUCCCAAUCAAUAUUGGGGUUGAUAUCUAUAUGAUUAUUUUCCUCUUGUGGCUGAGAAUCAGGAUAAGGUUGAGAUUUUUCCACUCGGCUAGUUGGCCAAGUCGCAAGGAGAUUCAUCGGCUGAUAGGAAUAGUUCCAUUAAU